rnacentral:rRNA from 1 species
GCACAAUGGGCGCAAGCCUGAUGCAGCCAUGCCGCGUGUGUGAAGAAGGCCUUCGGGUUGUAAAGCACUUUCAGUCGUGAGGAAGGUAGUGUAGUUAAUAGCUGCAUUAUUUGACGUUUAGCGACAGAAGAAGCACCGGCUAACUCCGUUGCCAGCAGCCGCGGUAAUACGGAGGGUGCGAGCGUUAAUCGGAAUUACUGGGCGUAAAGCGCAUGCAGGUGGUUUGUUAAGUCAGAUGUGAAAGCCCGGGGCUCAACCUCGGAAUUGCAUUUGAAACUGGCAGACUAGAGUACUGUAGAGGGGGUAGAAUUUCAGGUGUAGCGGUGAAAUGCGUAGAGAUCUGAAGGAAUACCGGUGGCGAAGGCGGCCCCCUGGACAGAUACUGACACUCAGAUGCGAAAGCGUGGGGAGCAAACAGGAUUAGAUACCCUGGUAG